UGGGGAAUCUUGCGCAAUGGGCGAAAGCCUGACGCAGCAACGCCGCGUGGAGGAAGAAGGCCUUCGGGUUGUAAACUCCUGUCAGGGGGAACGAAGACACCUGGGUUAAUAGCCCAAGGGUUGACGGUACCCCCAGAGGAAGCCACGGCUAACUACGUGCCAGCAGCCGCGGUAAUACGUAGGUGGCGAGCGUUGUCCGGAAUUAUUGGGCGUAAAGAGCGCGUAGGCGGCUUGUCAGGUCUGACGUGAAAUGCCGGGGCUCAACCCCGGACGUGCGUCAGAAACCGGCUUGCUAGAGUCUGGGAGAGGGAAGUGGAAUUCCUGGUGUAGCGGUGAAAUGCGCAGAUAUCAGGAGGAACACCGGUAGCGAAGGCUGCUUCCUGGAACAGUACUGACGCUGAGGCGCGAAAGCUAGGGGAGCAAACAG
rnacentral:rRNA from 1 species